rnacentral:rRNA from 1 species
UACGGGGGGGGCAAGCGUUGUUCGGAAUUACUGGGCGUAAAGGGCUCGUAGGCGGCCAACUAAGUCAGACGUGAAAUCCCUCAGCUUAACUGGGGAACUGCGUCUGAUACUGGAUGGCUUGAGUUCGGGAGAGGGAUGCGGAAUUCCAGGUGUAGCGGUGAAAUGCGUAGAUAUCUGGAGGAACACCGGUGGCGAAGGCGGCAUCCUGGACCGACACUGACGCUGAGGAGCGAAAGCCAGGGGAGCAAACAGG